GUGAGGAUGUUUUUCUGCGAUUUCCUCACGAGCCAUGAUCCAAACUGCACUACACUCCGCAGUCGAUUUAGCAAAUGACGUCGAUUGAUGGUUAGAGUAAUCCGUCGAUCGAUCUUCGUCAGGGUCUGUCGAGCGAUGUGCAUCCAUUGACAUAGGUCGACACCAUUGUGAUCCGCCGAAACUCAUGGAGCUUUCAACUUCGAAGUCUCCUUUUCCAAGCUUCUCAUGCUUCACCACUUGCCAGAAAUCAUCAUCUAU
rnacentral:lncRNA from 1 species